UCCCCCAAUUCCCACUCAUUGUUCAUUUUUUACAUAACAGCACAUGCAUUUGGGUUCUCAUCACUGAAGAUCUGUGGAGGGUAGGCGUACAGUUCCAUGGCAUACCUUGGUGGGUAGUAGUUGUACUCGUUUAUCUUCAUGAGCUCACCAACCUUGGUCUCUUCUGUAACUGCUCCGCCUUCUGGUGCAACAGAAGCUGCAGCACCACCUUCAUUGCCGUCACCUUUCUUUUCUUUGUUAUCUUCAGCUGGUGGUGCAGCCUCACCUCCACCAUCACCACUUUUCUUGUCCUUGCCACCUUCUUCACCACCUUUCUUCCCGUCUUUACUUCCCUCUUUGGCUUCUUCUUUGUCAGCCUUCUUCUCCGGCUCUUGCUUCACUAUCUCUGCCUGCUUGCCGGUUCUUUUGUACACGUACUCAACUAGCUUGGCCGGAUCAAACACACCCUUUACUGUCACUUGUGAUCCCUUUAGAUCUGGUUCUGCUGAUUCCACUCCUACAAGAAAAAGGAAAUCAGAUUUGGAUGGACCCAGAAAACCUUGAGGAUCUUAAUUAAAGCUGGAUAGGUGGGAUUUGGUCAUGAAAGGACUUGAAUUGACUUGAAUUGGACUUGAUUUCAGUGAAAUCAAAAGGAAUUUAAUAUUUUAUUUAAGAGGAAGAAUGUAUUGACAUCGAAAGAUUGGUCCUUGGUGAGAGAAUAAACUCUUUUUUAAGAUUGAGAUUCAGAAUAUAAAGGGGUUUUAAUUUUGAUUUCUCUCUUUUGGAGGUUACAGAUGGAUUGCAGUAUAGCACAACCAAUAAAAGUGCAGGACCGUUAAUUGCCAACACAUGCAUAUUAUCAAAGCUCAAUUUUUUCUUUUUUGUGAAAGACAGAAAAUGAUGAGCAGAAAUGACAAAAGGAAUCAAAGAAAUGACCUCUUUUUUGUUUUUGGAUUUUCUCCUAGGAAAAGAAAAAAGAAGAAGAAGGUUGUUUAUACACACCUUUCAUCCUCUGAAUGCGUUUCUUGAUUUCUUGUGCACAAGCCUCGCAAUGCAUGUGAACCUUGAGCACCACAGAGAUGACCUGAGGAGGCUGCAGCAUAACAAGAACAAUUGAAUCCCAACAUCAAUCAACUAAAACCAAGAAAAUAGGAACAAGAUUUUGAACUUGGUAAAUGAACGGUAAAGAUAAAAAUUUACUGACCUCUUCUUUCUUUUCCUCCGGCUUGGGUUUCUCUUCCGGCUUCUUCUCCUCCUCAGCUGGUGGUUUUGGGAUUGGGGAGAGAAGCUCAACUUGUCUAUGACUCUUCCUCUGAACUCUCUCAAGAACCUUGAUUGGAUCAGCCUUCUCUCCCUUGACAACCACCUUGUGACUCUUGCAAUCUGUGCUCACAUCUUCCACCCCUGAAAAAACAAACAUCAUCAAUUAAUUCUCAUAGACGCAUUGAAACAGACACAUUACACAUACAUGGCAAAUCUGAAAGAAAGUUGAAGAACAAUAGAAGAAGUACAAACCUUGAAAGCCUUUGAGGCACCUCUUGACCUUUCUAGCACAACCUUCACAAUGCAUAUAGACUCUGAGCACAAUUUCUUGAGGUGGUGGCGGAGGUGGCGGAGCAUCACCCUCUUUGGCCUCUUUGCCAUCCUUACCCUCUUCAGCUUUCUUCUCUUCCUUCUUCUCCUCAGCUGGUUUCUCUUCCUUCUUAUUCUCCUCAGCCUUCUUUUCCUCUUCAGGCUUUUUCACCUCCUCAGGCUUCUUCUCCUCCAUUUUCUUCUCCUCGGGCUUCUUCUCCUUCUGAACAAACACAAACCCAACUCUCCCAAUAAACAAAGAUGUAAACUAAACAAGCUUAUAAGUUCUGAAAGUGGGAAAACAAAUAUUAGAAAAAAGAUUGUAGGACCUCCCCCAUUGGUUUUAGGUCAGCUCGAGUAAAGAUUCAAUUGUUAAGGCGCUCUCUCUUUCUUGGGUGGUGGAGAUCAGCCUUUUCUUUCCUUCUUUCUUUCUCUUUAACUGUGCUAAAAUGUGUGCUGGUAGAGACUG
rnacentral:lncRNA from 1 species